rnacentral:lncRNA from 1 species
UAUACCUUAUGGUUCUAAAUCAGAUAUUUGGUCCUUGGGUUAGUACUUGUGUUAUGAUGAUUUGUUCUCCAUAAACUAUCUAUUAGUAUUGGUUUAUUGAUUUUCUUCUUGUUUCUUCUUGUUAAUGAUUUUCUUGUUCAUGAAGUAGAAAUUGUAUUAUUGCAUUGUAGUUAUAAGUAUUAAUUUUGAUUCUUUUCUUGUUAAUGAUUUUCUGAGCCCAUACUAAUUUUUGCGGUUUGUACAUCUUUCAUUUUCCUAUGAUCUAUAGAUUAUCACUUAAUUGUUCAAUUUGCU